rnacentral:rRNA from 1 species
AUUCCUACGGGAGGCAGCAGUGGGGAAUAUUGCGCAAUGGGCGAAAGCCUGACGCAGCCAUGCCGCGUGUGUGAAGAAGGCCUUCGGGUUGUAAAGCACUUUCAAUUGGGAGGAAAGGUUCACGACUAAUACUCGUGAGCUGUGACGUUACCUUUAGAAGAAGCACCGGCUAACUCCGUGCCAGCAGCCGCGGUAAUACGGAGGGUGCGAGCGUUAAUCGGAAUUACUGGGCGUAAAGCGCGCGUAGGUGGUCUGUUAAGUCGGAUGUGAAAGCCCCGGGCUCAACCUGGGAACUACACCCGAUACUGGCAGACUAGAGUGCGGGAGAGGGAGGCAGAAUUCCACGUGUAGCGGUGAAAUGCGUAGAUAUGUGGAGGAAUACCGGUGGCGAAGGCGUUCCGCUGGGCCGUAACUGACACUCAGAGACGAAAGCUAAGGUAGCAAAUAGGAUUAGAUACCCUAGUAGUCUUAGCUGUAAACGAUGCACACUAUGUUUUGCAAUUUGCAGAGCAAUAGCUAACGCGUUAAGUGUGCCGCCUGGGGAGUACAUUCGCAAGGAUGAAACUUAAAGGAAUUGACGGAAU